rfam:Schistosoma curassoni strain Dakar, Senegal genome assembly, scaffold: SCTD_scaffold0005644
AUCCAGAUGACUAGUCCAAAUAUAGGACGAAACGUGCGUCCUUGAU